GUGCCCGCUUUGGCAGCACAUGUGCUAACACUGGAUCUAUAAAGAGAAGAUUGGCAUGGCCCCCACACAAGAAUGCCACGCAAGUUUACGACAUGUUCCGUGUUUCU